ensembl:lncRNA
GUGAGGAGUGUGUGAGAGUGUGUGAGGAGAGUGUGUGUGAGGAGUGUGUGUGAGGAGUGUGUGUGUGAGGAGUGUGUGUGUGAGGAGUGUGUGAGGAGGGAGUGUGUGAGGGGAGUGUGUGUGAUGGGGAAAUUCUUUGUUUCAAAUGAAACGAGAAGUGGACUGUUGUAAAUUUUGUAAAAAUGCGUUCAUCUCGAUUUGAUUUGAAAUGAAUGAAGAGUCGCCUCAGACUCCGCCCUCUCGGAGGUGAAGGGAAGCGGCGCUGAAACCCUGAACACGGAGUCUGUGUCACUCGGAGGAAGAAUCCGCCCGCGUUCCCGGCCCUGACAGAUCAGACAAAGCAUCGUGACGGUGAAACAAGAGCCACUUUUAUGAGGUCCGUAACACAAGCCCAGGGGGCCGCUGGGAAACAGAUCCGCCGAUGAAAAAGACGGCCGAGCUCCAUCUUUCAUGUGCACGUCGCUUUUAUUUCGGCCCGCAGACACAAAUGACAGACGAUUAAGACGGCACAAAGGCGAGGGGGAAAUGCGGUCGCGGCCCAAAUGAACCCGGCCGUACCUGAGCGCGUUUCAUGUGCUUCUCUUACUACGAGUCCAAAGGAAACGCUUUCAGGAAGCGAGAAUGAAAAAGGUCAAGUCUUUCCGUUGGAAAUUAAACCUCACUUUCUACAUAUCAAAAAAAAAAAAAAACCACGUCUCGCUAAAAACUCCCUUUAAAAGACCCCCUUUGCUAAGAAAUGCUAAGUAAGUGAACACGCCUAGCAUGAAUUAGCACGUGUAAAAAUACCAACGUUCUUUACUCGGUUACGCGCACGGUAAAAGUUGAAGCGUCGGAUUAGUUCCGCAGAGAAGUAUAAACUUGUACGUUCAAUUUCGAGUCCGAUUAAAAGUUUAAAAAAAGGCUGACAAAAACGAAACGAGAGAAAGAAAGACGUCCGUUUUUCCUUCGCUGAAGCUAAAUUAGCAGCAAGAAAACAAGGAAUGUAAGAAAACUCGAGCCAUUAGCUACGGCUAACUACUGUAGCAACACCGUCAUUCCGAAGCGCUCAGAAGUUAGCUAGCAUGACGAGACAAACUAGCUGCUAAUAGCUAGCGUGAUAAACACGGCGGCGGCAGAUCGCUUACCGUUAGCCGUAUCUUUCUUAUUACUGAAACUCACCAUUUUUGAAAGGUUGUAAGUUGUUGGGUUUUGUUUGUUCGUUUAGCAUGCACUGCUAAUUCUGCGAAGCAUUCCAUAAUACAAGUUAGCUUUAAUGAACGAUUCCUGUGAGGAAAGAAAGCUAAACAUUUACGCUAAUCACAAUUCAAAAUGUAGCGAUGCAUCCUUGCUAGUAUUUUGUUGUUGUUGUUGCUAAUCUCUGCGUUAGCAUUUCUAAAGUAGUUUUAUUUCUGGCUUUUAUUUUGUAAGCCAGGUUCUACGCUAAAAACUUCAGACAGAUUUUUUUUAAAAAAAAAGUUUCAUAGGUGCGUCCAGACCGCUGAUUUUUACUGAUGUGGGUAGUAGGGUGAUACAGAUGGCUAACGGAUGUUUCCGAAGGUUUAUUUAAAGUAAGAAAAGCGUGUAGGACUAGGAUGCUAGCAUGAAUUAGCACGCAGUCACACGGCGUGAUGAUCCAUGCAUCAUGGCGAUAUUCCUGUGGAAAGACUGAGCAGGUUUUUAAUCUACUCUUGACAGGGAAUUACGGCGGGUAAUAUGGCGCUAAUCACUCCGUCUAGUAGGAAAAGUGGAAAACGCUAUCCAGCACUAGCUCUUAAUCAGGCCUCCAUCUUGCCGUCUGAGGAUUGUUUGACGAGGCGGCGUCGAGAGAUUGUGAGCAGGAUUGCGUUUUUAAUGAAGAGCUGAAAAGCUUAUUCACCCAUCUGUGCUAGCACUUCUUCACAUCAUGCUAAUAAAGUUGUUUGUCUCGCUUGAUCUCUUCAUAAGAAGCAGCUGAUUAGCCAAAUUCCUCCGAUUCUAGCGCAGAACUGAAAAUCGGCCCGGAUUCAUUCUUAUUCUCGUCGUCAUUUUUUCUCUCCUUUUUUUCCCCCUUCAUUUAAUCACCAAAGGUUUGGCAGAUAACUAAAAAAUAUCUGUUUUAAAUUAAUUUGUUUAACAUGAAAGUAAUUUUAAAAAAUUUUUUUACAUUUAAAUAAACUUCACUUUAGCGCAAACAAGUAAUUGUGUAACCAUAUAGGCCACACAGACACCAUCACGUGGGCGUGGCCCAAUCCACACACUCUUUACGCACUAUAUAGGCCACAUAGACACCAUCAUAUCUGUGUGUCCCAAUCCACACACUCUUUACGCACUAUAUAGGCCACAUAGACACCAUCAUGUGGGCGUGACCCAAUCCACACACUCAUUACGCACUAUAUAGGCGACAUAAACACCAUAAUGUGGGCGUGUUCCAAUCCACACACCCUUUACGCACUAUAUAGGCGACAUAAACACCAUCAUGUGGGCGUGACCCAAUCCACACACUCAUUAUGCACUAUAUAGGCGACAUAAACACCAUCAUGUGCUUGUGUCCCAAUCCACACACUCAUUACGCACUAUAUAUUCCACAUAAACACCAUCAUGUGGGCGUGUUCCAAUCCACACACUCAUUACGCACUAUAUAGGCCACAUAAACACCAUCAUGUGGGCGUGUCCCAAUCCACACACCCUUUACGCACUAUAUAGGCGACAUAAACACCAUCAUGUGGGCGUGACCCAAUCCACACACUCAUUAUGCACUAUAUAGGCGACAUAAACACCAUCAUGUGCUUGUGUCCCAAUCCACACACUCAUUACGCACUAUAUAGGCCACAUAAACACCAUCAUGUGGGCGUGUUCCAAUCCUCACACUCAUUACGCACUAUAUAGGCCACAUAAACACCAUCAUGUGGGCGUGUUCCAAUCCACACACUCAUUACGUACUAUAUAGGCCACAUAAACACCAUCAUGUGGGCGUGUCCCAAUCCACACACUCUUUACGCACUAUAUACUCCACAUAAACACCAUCAUGUGUGCGUGUCCCAAUCCACACACUCUUUACGCACUAUACAGGCCACAUAGACACCAUCACGUGGCGUGUCCCAAUCCACACACUCAUUACGCACUAUAUAUUCCACAUAAACACCAUCAUGUGGGCGUGUCCCAAUCCACACACUCAUUACGCACUAUAUACUCCACAUAAACACCAUCAUGUGGGCGUGUUCCAAUCCUCACACUCAUUACGCACUAUAUAGGCCACAUAAACACCAUCAUGUGGGCGUGUUCCAAUCCUCACACUCAUUACGCACUAUAUAGGCCACAUAAACACCAUCAGGUGGCGUGUUCCAAUCCACACACUCAUUACGUACUAUAUAGGCCACAUAAACACCAUCAUGUGGGCGUGGCCCAAUCCACACACUCUUUACUCACUAUAUAGGCCACAUAAACACCAUCAUGUGGGCGUGUCCCAAACCACACACUCUUUACUCACUAUAUAGGAAACUUAAACACCAUCAUAUGGGCGUGUCCCAAACCACACACUCUUUACUCACUAUAUAGGCCACAUAGACACCAUCAUGUGGGCGUGUCCCAAACCACACACUCUUUACUCACUAUAUAGGAAACAUAAACACCAUCAUGUGGGCGUGUCCCAAACCACACACUCUUUACUCACUAUAUAGGAAACUUAAACACCAUCAUGUGGGCGUGUCCCAAACCACACACUCUUUACUCACUAUAUAGGAAACUUAAACACCAUCAUGUGGGCGUGUCCCAAACCACACACUCUUUACUCACUAUACAGGAAACAUAAACCCCAUCAUGUGAGCGUGUCCCAAACCACACACUCUCUAGUCACCAUAUAGGCCACAUACACACCAUCAUGUGGGCGUGUCCCAAACCACACACUCUUUUUAAAUAAAAAGUUUGUGUCACAAACCUGUCGCUGUCGCUGUCAUUUACUCUCUGAAGUGUCCACUCCCGAUUUGGGACGAGGCCCGUCUCAGGUCCGUCUGGAUGAAGAGCGGGAGAUUUUCAGCGUUCCUCGGUGCCACAGAGAGUCAGCAGACCGGUGGGGUUUUCAUGCCGCUCGAGUUUCUUCAUCAAACAUUAACGAGGAGAGCGCGACUCGACUCGACGCUUCCUUCCUGCAGGACGGGACGUUUGGGUUUUAUACUAAUCCGAUCCGACUGUGAGAGAGACCUAGCAAAGAGAGAGAGAGAGAGAGAGAGAGAGAGAGAGAAUAUGCCUAUCAUCAAUAUUUAAAUACAUCCAAAGUGUGUAAAUAUCAACUGCAGCUGGAUGUAGCAUGUGAUCACAUCUGGAGUGAUACGCUAAUCACAGAGGUGCUAAUGACGCUAACAACAAAAACAUUAGCGCGAUUUCAGACAAACAGCGACAUAAAGUUUGACUUAAACGUUAUUUAUUAAUUAGCUACACCAAAGCCACGCCCACUUAUUUGCUAUUGGCUCGCAAGACAGAGAUUCAUAAAGUCGUUGUGAAUCGAAAGUAGCCACCGGAAAUAACCACGCAGCUUUUACGUCCCACGUCCCUUUCCCCUUCGGUGAAUUGACUUUGCGUUCGUUCCGAUUUUUUAUCGGUUCAUUAUUUUUUAUGACUGUUUCUAUGGCAACGGUGCUCCGGUUCGAUUCCCAGAUUUCCUACGUUCUGGCGGUGUGCUCUACACCCUACGUAGUGCACUAUUCAGCAAACAGGAAGUGAUUUAGGAUUCGUCCCGUGGUCCCGCUCGAUCGCUAGCUGGGCUAACGCUGAGCUAAUCGGACUCGUAUCGUUUGUUUAUUUCAAUCGCACUUCAUGAAUAUUCAAAAGGGUUAUCGUGUCUCUUUUCAGACCUGCCAUCACGCUAAAAAAAAUUCGAAAAAACGAUUGGCUCUUAGUUUUUAACCAAGGGGCGGGGCUUACGUUCGCUGCUACGCCCUGUUCGUUCUUUGAUCCUGCUCUGGAUUCUGAUUGGUCGGAUCGGUGUUUGAUUCGAAUAUGUUACUGUUUCUACAGUAACAGCUCAUUCACGUGGACUUGUCACCGAGCUCUGUGUAUGUGUGUGUGUGUGUGUGUUAUCAGUGCAGUAGAUCGUCACACACUGCCACUGUGAGAAUGAAGAAAAAUGGGGUUUGAAUCGUCAGGGUGUAAUUAAGCAUAUCGUCAUGAUGAUGAUGAUCUGUAGGGAGAAGAUAAGCCUCACACACGCACACACACAGUCGAGUUAGCGUUUUUCCAUGCAUCUCUGACACAGAGAUUACGUUACAUAUAUGUGCACAUAAAUAAGAUGAAAUGAUUAUUAUUAUUAUUAUUAUUAUUGUUGUUAUAGAUAAUACUGCAGAGCCGUGAUGCUAUACUGUUAUAACGAUAUACCGCGCUAAUUACCUUUGAAAUGAUUCAAUAAUAUACCAUCGCUGUUAGCUGACGUUCAGGGACACGAUGACAUCACAAUAAAUUUUUUAAAAAAUCGAAAUCGGACAACGUUUCUUCCGCUGAGCGAUGAACAGUAAACUAAGGAACGAGACGCGACGGCGAUUAGAGGCGUUUACGCGUCCCGUUCCUCUCGUCUCACUGCGAUUCGCCUACGAUUACGCAUUUCUCUUGAUUAAAGAAUGCGUGCUGGUGUUUUUUUGUUAUCCGUUUAUCGCUACAUCCGGCGUGGGAGUUCUCGCUUACGUUCUCGCAGCGAUAAACGCUCGUUCCCUCGCCAGCGUCUUUUAUCGCCAUCCUACAACCGAUUUUCAGCACAUAAAAAUACCGUAAUGGCUUUUUUUUUUUUUUUUUUUUUAAUCUCACGGUUAUUUCAGUAAUCUUAUAAUAAAGCCACACUUUACUGAGAGGAAGCUGGGUAACAAAAGGGGAAAAGGGAGGAAAAAAGGGGGGCGGGGCUUGUGUAUCUUCUCUCCAUGGUUGAUGUAAGGUUAUAGCGAAUAUCAUAAUCCCUCCUCAGAGAAGCCUUUUCUCACACAAGAUGAUGACUAAAUUUCUAGUGUCUUAUCAGACACUACCAGACUGGAGCUGGUACAAGAGGAUUGUGGGAAAAGAGAAGGAGG